GGGAGUGACGUCAAAUCAUCAUGCCCUUAUGACCUGGGCUACACACGUGCUACAAUGGGCGGUACAAAGGGUCGCGAACCCGCAGGGGAGCCAAUCCCAAAAAGCCGCUCUCAGUUCGGAUUGCAGGCUGCAACUCGCCUGCAUGAAGCCGGAAUCGCUAGUAAUCGCGGAUCAGCAUGCCGCGGUGAAUACGUUCCCGGGCCUU
rnacentral:rRNA from 1 species